UACAUGCGUUCUGUGCCCUGCUAAAGUAGGAUCUAUGUAAUUUUUGAUAUUAUUAGUUAUGUCUCUUUUUCUAAUCUUGACAGCUUUCUGUUUAAUUUUGUAUUGCGACCUGGCUCCCACACUCGCCCAGGAGACUGCCCCUUUGGGGCUUUGUGAGGUUCUUGUGUCUGGCUCUUUCUGCAGAGAUAUCUAUAUGUGCACAUUUUGAAAAUAUACUCCUGAAGAAGCAGUUACCGCGCGAAACACGAUGAGGCAGAACUGUCAAGGGACGAACAUCAAAUCCCCUCCUACAAAGAUGGUCACACGUCUGUGUAUACAGUUACAAUUUUGAGAAAUUAUAAUUGUGUAUUCUGUUUUCCCUGUUCUAAGGGACCACUUUUUUAACUCUUUUUUUUAUAAAUCUUAUAUUUUUGUAUACGUGGUUUAUGUGAGUCUUUACCGUACCAUGAAAAUCCAAAAUUGCCUCAAAAUCUCAGCUUUUUUUCCCUAACCUGAUAGGACGAAGGUACAUACAUUUUUUUCUAUAUACUUUUCCAGUAGUGUUAAUGAGGAUCCUUUCAUUGUUACAUGCCUGAUGAAGGGGUCCUGCGUGGCUCCAAAACUUUGCAAUCUGCUGUAACGAUGUGAUCACUGAAAAAAGCUUUGGACACCUUCUGGAGAUCCUUGGUGUGCUGGAGACAUUGUGAUAUUUAACAAUUUGAUUGUAAGAAUAUUUUAAUAAAGAUUUUUUUCUGUAAA